rnacentral:lncRNA from 1 species
CAAGAAUCCUAAUACAGGAGUGUUUAUGGUUGGGUUGAGACACAUUCAGGAGCUGAGUGAUUGACAGCAAGAGGAGCAAGACAUGAGGUUAAUAAUUAUCAAAUAUAUGGCAAUGCUGGACUUUAGCUGAUGAUCGUGCUUCUGGAAAACAACAAAAAUUGAGAUAUCUUUUCACCACUUUGUGUGUCCAAGGACCACCUACUUUUUACAUGUGACAAGAACUACCCACCUCCACUCUUCAGGAUAGAACAUGCUGAAGAAAAGAGUUGCAAUGAGAAAAUAUAUGGGAACAAAAUACCUGUGCAAUGCAGAGGUCUGCAUAACUGAACCACUCAGAGGAAAAAAAUUGCCAUUUCAGGACACCUCCU